AAAGUAUGACACUUUUGAUAGUAUUUAAAUGAAUAUAAUCUACAACAAUCUCUAGCAGUAAGCUCCACUAAUUAUAAAGGCACAACACAUUUCUUGAAAUAAACUUUUAAAACUCUAGUAAUGUAGUUUAAAUACUAUUUCCCUUACUGAGUUUAUAGAACUCACCCUAAUCCAUUUUUCCCAAGAUGAUGAAGAAAGUGAAGAAUCACUCCUUGAGCUGCCCAUUGAAGCUUUUUUGGAUCCAUUCGGGGACCAAUAGUGGACAUUUGAGUGCAUGUGGAUAAUUAUACU
rnacentral:lncRNA from 1 species